GUUUCAAGCUAAUGGCCGGUCUAUCCGCUCGAUUUAUUUCUGAGAAACCAAGAGGGGAAAAGGCUCAGUAUGACGUAAACAGAUGUUCUCAGUGUCUAAACACUGAUUCAAAACCUUUCACAAUUAACAAAUAUCUUAACUGUUUUCACGCAGUCUGUCGUUUGGCGAAUUUAGCGUGUUUCGGCCGAUGCGGAGGCGAUUUCGAUGAGUCCCUGCUGCACUACAGUAUGUGCACGAGGCCUACAAUUUAACAGUGGGUUGCAUGUUUAGGGGCCUCAAACAGGGAGGAGACCAUGAACCUCAACGAGAAGAAGCCCAACAAGUGGUGGACUGAACCGGACACGUUUGCCAUGCUGGCCCUUAUAGAGCAGAUGGGUCUGGUACACGAGCUGGAUAAGAAGCGUCAGCGCAACGAAUCCCUCUUCCGACACCUCAGGCUGAGUCUGGCAAAGCGGGGCAUCCACUUCACUGUCACCCAAAUCCGAAACCGUUGGAAGAGCCUCAAACACAAGUACCGUAAGAUCAAACUGGCCAGCUACAGAAGUCCAGCCGCUCGCCUGUCUGCCGUCGAGUCUUUCCGUUACUUCCAUAUGCUGGAUCACAUGUUGGUGCGCAGACCGAAGGUGGGAGGCAGGGAGGACGACCUCACAGAUGGUCACGCCCUGCUUGGACGGUCACUCGCAGACCUGGAUGACCAUGCAGACAGUCAUUGGCCUGAAGGCCUAAUCCCUAAAUCUGAGCCUGAGAGCAUGUCUUCUAAACUUGAACCUGAUGUUGACGAGAGUCUGAAUCCAGAUGAUGUGGCUGGUUCUGAGCCUCCAAACUGGGCCGUAGGACCAGAUGAAGUUAUGACCCUGGGCUUGUCAGGAGAAUACCUCUAUGCAGUGAAGACAGAACCACCAUCCCUAUGCACUCCCAACAGUACAGAAAGUACAAGAGAUGCCAUUGACUGCAGCCACAAUGAUUUCCCAGGAACUUCUGAAGAGACUAGCAGCCUCAUCCUCCAGCAGCUAACCAUCCUGAACCACCGGCUUGGAGAACAGCUGGCCGAGCAGAGAGCCUUCCACUGCAGCAUGCUAGGAAUGAUGGAUCGCCAGAUCCAGGUCCUGGAGCAGCUCUCCAAUUUCACAAGGAACCACCAACCCAAGCUUGAGACCCCGGGCACGGACUCUUCAGUUAGUCCGAACGUGCAUGAAGCUCAAACACAGACUCUUGAGCCAUAUCCCACGUUCCUCAUGCCUAAAAGCGAACCAACAGCUGCUCCUUGGAAGGUCUCUCUCUUAGAAGUCCACAAGAGGUCACCUUCUGAGUUGGGCAGUGACACUGAGACUCCUCAAACCUUGGAGGGUUGCAACGAAAACACCUCUAGCCCACCUUCUUUAGAGAUUUUACCCUCAACCAAGAACGUAAUUGUGCAGAAUGGAUUGUGUAAGCACGAUUGAGUGCUGUUUAUUUGGGACGUUAUGCAUUCAGUAGGAACUACUAAAGUCUUUUGUCCUGUAGAUGUUUCAGGAGCUUGAUCUGAUCUGAAACAUCAUUAACAUAUGCAUUUUUCAGUUUCAUAGGAAAGUAUUCAGUGCUCUGAUGUUUUAAUCAGUAACACUUUUGAGAGAUAGAACAAUAGACUUAUUAUUUAUUUACUUUGGUUUGAUUGCGAACUAACACUCGAUGCGAAUCUUAGACGGUAAGUAACUCAGCAGUGACUGUUUCAAAAUUGCAGUUUGGACCAAGGUAGCUUUAUGUCUGUAAUCAUCUUGCAUUAUCUAAGAGAAAGAAGUGGGUUAUUGGUAAGCUUAAAGUUGUGUAAAACUAUCAGUUUCUUCCUGUUAGGUUUGGAACACACUUUAAGGCUGAUUUUAACACAAGAAGGUGUAUUACCAUGAAUUUCAUCAUCUAAUUUGAACUCCUGUGGUUAAGUAUGAACUUCACUGUUCAUUUCAACUGCUUGACUCUUAAUAUAAAGUAAUAGUUCACUUAUAUGUUUUGUUAUAUUUUUGACAUGCGAAAUGGAUCAGGGUUGGGUUACUUGUAACACCACUAAUUCGAUUAAUCUUACUAGUGUUAAUACAGGGUACUACGAAAUUACUUUUACAUUAAACUAUGGGUACUGUGUCAAAAGUGUGUGGGUAAAAACACUCGAAUGGAAGGGGAAAAUGUCAGCAAGUCCUACUUAAGUUGUAUUGAAAUUGUUAGACAAGUUCCUAUGCUCACCAAGGCUGUAUUUAUUUGAUUAAAAAUAAACGGUAAUAUUGUAACAUAUUAUUACAAUAACCUCUAAUAUGAGGAAGAAUAAAUGAACUUUACAGUCGUUUGGAUCAGCGAGG
ensembl:lncRNA uncharacterized LOC107561376